rnacentral:rRNA from 1 species
UACGUAGGGAGCAAGCGUUGUCCGGAAUCAUUGGGCGUAAAGCGCGCGUAGGUGGCCUCAUAAGUCCGCUGUGAAAGUCAAAGGCUCAACCUUUGAAAGCCGGUGGAUACUGUGAGGCUAGAGUACGGAAGUGGCGAGUGGAAUUCCUGGUGUAGCGGUGGAAUGCGCAGAUAUCAGGAGGAACACCAAUAGCGAAGGCAGCUCGCUGGGACGUUACUGACACUGAGGCGCGAAAGCGUGGGGAGCGAACAGG